rnacentral:lncRNA from 1 species
GUUUUGGAGUGCAGGCGUGAAUAGUCCUUUCUGUCCUGCUUUGAGUACUGCUGUUGGGUGCCUUGGGGGGACCUUAAGGGAGCUCGGAAGUUGAGACGUGGUGAGUGCGAGAUCACUGCCCACAAAGGGGAGGAGCAGGCGGAUGAACAGCCAGAGCUGCAAUGGUGGAUCCUCCUCCAGGGCUGCAUGGGACGACAGAUAGAUGAGGCUCUAGGACGGGCACAAAUGCUACCCGAAUGCAAACCACUCCGGAGAUCUGUAAAAGGACUGGCCCCGGACAGGAAGCACACUUUAAACUAGAGGCGGGGUAAGACUCGUGGGCCAAUCAAGGCUUCCGAACAGAACUGCCAUUCUGGCAAUGAGGCGGGGUCUUCCGGUUGCCUGCUGGAAGUUUGUUUUUGCUCUGCAGGAUUGAAGGGUUCUCCCUAUGCUGCUUUGAGCGCUGCUAUUGGGUGCCUUGAGGGGACCUCAAGUAAGCUCCAUUUUUGAAACAUGAUCUUCAUCCACAUCUUGAAGUUUGAAGUUUGGCCAAGAAUAUACAAAAUAGAUUCUCUUUCUCAGGAUGGCAAGUGUUCAUGACAUCAAUACUACCCAAGGCUUCAGAGUCAUUGGAUUGCAGGAUGCAGUGACUUAUGAUGAUGUGCGUGUGAACUUCACUGAGGAAGAGUGGGAUUUGCUGGAUCCUUCCCAGAAAAGUCUCUAUGAAGAGGUGAUGCUAGAGACAUACCAGAACAUCACUGCUAUAGGUAAGACUGAAUUUCCUCUUGCUUUUCUGAAUAAGGGACAAAUAUUUCUUUGUUAUUGAUCCUCUGUUGUUUCAAUUGAAGAGGAGGAAGAAUGAGCUUACAGGCAUGAAAGAAUUCAUAUUGGAGAGAAACCGUAUGAACGUAACCAAUGGGGUAAAGCCUUUGCAAGUGACAAUCAUCUCCAAAUACGUAAAAGAACAAAUACUGGAGAGAAACCUUAUGAAUGUAAUCAAUGUGGUAAAGCCUUUUCACAACAGAGUAGUCUCCAGUAUCAUAAAAGAACAUAUGCUGGACAGAAACCUUAUGAAUGUAAUCAGUGUGGUAAAGCCUUGUCAUGUCAAAGAAAUCUCCAAUAUCAUAAAAGAACACAUACUGGAGAGAAACCCUAUGAAUGUAAUCAGUGUGGUAAAGCCUUCACACAUUACAAUAAUCUCCGAUAUCAUAAAAGAACACAUACUGGAGAAAAACCUUAUGAAUGUAAUCAGUGUGGUAAAGCCUUUGCACGUUACAAUAAUCUCCAGUGUCAUAAAAGAACACAUACUGGAGAGAAACCUCAUGUGUGUGAUCAAUGUGGUAAAACCUUUGCAUGGCAGUAUACUCUCCAAAAACAUAAAAGAAUACAUACUGGAGAGAAACCUUAUCAAUGUAGUCAAUGUGAUAAAGCAUUUUCAGAACACAGUAGUCUUCAAUAUCAUAAAAGAACACAUACUGGAGAGAAACCUUAUGAGUGUGAUCAAUGUGGUAAAGCCUUUGCUUGGCAGUGUAGUCUCCAUAUCCAUAAAAGAACACAUUCUGGAGAGAAACCUUAUGAGUGUAAUGAAUGUGGUAAAGCCUUUGCACAUCACACUAGUCUCCAAAGUCAUAAAAGAAUACAUACUGGAGAGAAACCUUAUCAGUGUGAUCAGUGUGGUAAAGCAUUUGCACAUCAAAAUAAUCUCCAAUAUCAUAAAAGAACACAUACUGGAGAGAAACCAUAUGAAUGCAAUCAAUGUGGUAAAGCCUUUGCAAGUCACAGUCAUCUCCAAAUACAUGAAAGAACACAUUUUAGAAAAAACCCUUAGAAUGCAAUCAAUGUUGUAAAGACUUUGGAUGUAAGACUAAUCUCCAAAGACAUAAAGGAAUAUAUAUGGGACAGAAACCUUAUGAAUGUAAUCAAUGUGGUAAAGCAUUUGCAACUCACAGUCAUCUACAAUGACAUAAAAGAACACAGAGGAGAGAAACCUGGUUAUUGUUUACAUAUUGACAUAAGGAGAUGCAAGUAUGUAUCAACUUGACAAGGGAUGGAUUGUGAUUGCUACUCUUGGUUUUCAAUAUAAGAUCUAAAGUGGAAAGCAUAGGUCCAGGCAUGGUGGUACAUGCCCUUGAACCCUAGGAGAUGAGCAUCAAGCAGAUCUCUGAGUUCAAGUCCAUCCUGAUACAGAACAAGUUUCAGGUAAAGAAAAGAUUAGGUCUAGGCCUGUGGACACUGUGUUCCAGAGACAGCCAGAAUUGUACCUUGUGUUGCAGCUGAACUUGGUCACAUGUAAGAAUCACCCAGGUGUUACUGGUUUUGAAGGCAUGACAGUGUCAUGAGGAGCAGUACAGCCUUGCAGAUCUCUGAGUUCAAGGUCAAUAUGUAGAGCAAGUUCCAGGACAGCCAAGCUGAGGCAGUAAAGGAGUUGGAGAACAGAAAACUGGUGAUAAUGUAAUAGAAGAGGCCAUGUCCCAGGCCCAGAAAGCAGCAGAACUCAGCAGCUUUGUUCAUGUGGCUCUUACUUUAGAGGUAAGACUAGAAGGGACUACUGGGAAAAUUGAAGCUUGUAAGCUAAGGCUGAGAAAUUAGAAGUGAUGAUGAAGAGACCAGCAUCAUUGAGGUGAAAUCUUCUAGGAAGUGUUUUCUGAGAGGACAUAAAAACUGUGUUCCAGAGAUAGCCAGGAUUGUACCUUGUGUUGCAGCUGAACUUGGUCUCAUGUAAGAAUCACCCAGGUGGUACUGGUUUUGAAUGCAUGACGGUGUCAUGAGGAGCAGCUGAGGCUUGGACCAAUGAAGAGAGCAUAAGUGAGGCUAUCAGUGAAGCCUAGUUGCAGGAGAAGAACCCAACAUAUUGAAGAUGCCAGUCCAAUGGGAUGAGCAGAAAGAACAGCCCAGUAGAGGGGAGUCAACCAGAGCUUAGAGUGAUACAGACAGCAGAGCUGAAGAAGUGACCUUAUCUCUUUGGAGGACUGCAGAAGAUCAUGUGUGGAUCCAAGACAUUGGAACAAGAAACUGUAACACUGAGGUUACCUUGGAGACCCCAAGAUCUUUGAGAUGUCAGAGCUGUGGGGUACCUGCUCAGAAAAACCAGCCAAAGAGAAAGAAUUGUGCUGCAGUGAACAAAGCAGAAAGGAGUUGGAGAUCUGAAGAAUGCUUUAAUAUCACACAUGGAGAUGCAGUUUGGAGAUUUCCAAGCUGGCUUUUGGUUUUGUUUUGGUCCAGUAAUUCCUUGUGAUGACAUUUUGGAAUGGUGAAGUCUAUGUUGUGAAGUUGGAAUUAUAUGAUCUGUAUUUAGAUUUUUCUUUUUAAGGGGAUUACAGUUACAUUGAAUGAAUCUCAGAAGAGACGUUGAUCUUUGGACUUUUAACAUAUUUGAGACUGGUAUAGAUGAUGGGGACUUUUGAGGUUGGACCUCGUGUAUUUUUCAUUAUGCAUGUUUAAAUAUGUUCCUUAUACAUUCCUGUACUCCAACAUGCUUAAGGGGGCCAGUGAGUGGAAUGUGGGAGUUUGAAUAUGCUUGUGACAGGGAGUGACUCUAUUCAGAGGUGUGACCUUGUAGGAGAAAGGGGAUAUCUAUGGGGGUGGACUUUGAAGCUCCACCAAGUGCAAAACAGACCCUCCUAUUCCCUCUCUGGAAGACAGUUUCUUCCUGGCUGCCUUUGGAUCAAAAUGCAGAACUCUCAGCUCCUUCUCCAGCAUCAUGUCUGCCUGCAUGCUGCUGUGCUUCCUGCUAUGAUGAAAAUGGACUAAACCUCUGAAACUGUAAGCCAGCCCCAAUUAAAGGUUUGCUUUUAUGAGAGUUGCCUUGGUCAUGAUGUCUAUUCCUAACAAUGGAAACACUAAGACUUAAAUUUUGGGAGUGUAUUUAAUAUAGUGAAACCUUUACACAAUUCUGUAGGCUUCAUCAUCAUGGAAGAAUAUAUACUGGAGCCAGACAGUGGUGGUGCAUGCCUUUAAUCCCAUCACUUGGGAGGAAGAUGCAGACAGACUUCUGAGUUCUCGGCCAGCCUGGUCUACAAAGUGAGUUCCAGGAUAGCCUGGGCUAUAGAAAGAAACCCUGUCUUGAAAAAACAAAACAAAACAAAAGAGUAUGUACUGGAGAGAAACCUUUUGAAUGUACUUACUAUGGUUAAGCUUCUUCCUACGGUUAAGAAGGAAUGACUUUGACAGGUACAGUUCUCAUUCUCUGUCUUUAGAACGUGAGCAUCACAUAGGAGUUCAUGACAAGCUCAUUCUUGGACCCUGUCUACAUGUGUUAAAUCAGAAGUUUUGCUCUCAGUAUAUGACCUCUAGAAAAAUAAUUAAAGGUGGCCCCUGAACAUUUUAUUUCUGACUCUCCAGUUACUACUAAUCUAUCUUUCAAGCAGAGGCCCCAUGUCCUUGAGCUCUCUUUGGGAGCAGAGGUGAUCAGAAAGGUAGUCAAGGGCUCUGAAGCUCCGGCAUGAAAGAAUUCAUAUUGGAGAGAAACCGUAUGAACGUAACCAGUGUGGUAAAGCCUUUGCAAGUGACAAUCAUCUCCAAAUACAUAAAAGAACAAAUACUGGAGAGAAACCUUAUGAAUGUAAUCAAUGUGGUAAAGCCUUUUCACAACGCAGUAAUCUCCAAUAUCAUAUUAGAAGUCAUACUGGAGAGAAGCCCUAUAAAUGUAAUCAGUGUGGUAAAGCCUAUGGACAUCACAGUAGUCUCCAAUAUCAUAAAAGAACACAUACUGGAGAGAAACCUUAUCACUGUAAUCAAUGUGAUAAAGCAUUUUCAGAACACAGUAGUCUUGAAUAUCAUAAAAUAACACAUACUGGAGUGAAACCUUAUGAGUGUGAUCAAUGUGGUAAAGCCUUUGCAUGGCAGUCUAGUCUCAAUAUACAUAAAAGAACACAUUCUGGAGAGAAACCUUAUAAGUGUAAUGAAUGUGGUAAAGCCUUUGCACAUCACAAUAGUCUCCAAUGUCAUAAAAGAACACAUACUGGAGAGAGACCUUAUCAGUGUGAUCUGUGUGAUAAAGCAUUUACUCAUCAAAAUAAUCUCCAAUAUCAUAAAAGAACACAUACUGGAAAGAAUCCUUAUGAAUGCAAUCAAUGUGGUAAAGCCUUUGCAAGUCACAGUCAUCUCCAACUACAUGAAAGAACACAUUUUAGAAAAACACCUUAGAAUGCAAUCAAUGUUGUAAAGACUUUGGAUGGAUGACUAAUCUCCAAAGACAUAAAAGAACAUAUACUGGACAGAAACCUUAUGAAUGUAAUCAAUGUGGUAAAGCAUUUGCAACUCACAGUCAUCUACAGCGACAUAAAAGAACACAGAGGAGAGAAACCUGGUUAUUGUUUACAUAUGGACAUAAGGAGAUACAAGUAUGUAUCAAAUUGACAAGGGAUGGAUUGUGAUUGCUGCUCUUGGUUUUCAAUAUAAGAUCAAAAGUGGAAAGCAUAGGUCCAGGCAUGGUGGUACAUGCCCUUGAACCCUAGGAGAUGAGCAUCAAGCAGAUCUCUGAGUUCAAGUCCAUCCUGAUACAGAACAAGUUAAAGGUGAAGAAAUUCUUAGGUCUAGCCCUGUGGAUACAGAGCUUUGCAGAUUUCUGAGUUCAAGGUCAAUAUAUAGAGCAAGUUCAAGGACAGCCAAGCUGAGGAAGUAAAGGAGUUGGAGAACAGAAAACUGGUGAUAAUGUAAUAGAAGAGGCCAUGUCCCAGGCCCAGAAAGCAGCAGAACUCAGCAACUUUGUCCAUGUGGCUCUGACUUUAGAGGUAAGAAUAGAAGGGACUACUGGGAAAAUUGAAGUUCGUUAGCUGUGGCUGAGAAAUUAGAAGUGAUGAAGAAGAGACCAGCAUCAUUGAGGUGAAAUCUUCUAGGAACUGUUUUCUGAGAGGACAAAGAAACUGUGUUCAGAGAUAGCCAGGAUUGUACCUUGUGUUGCAGCUGAACUUGGUCUCAUGUAAGAAUCACCCAGGUGGUACUGGUUUUGAAGGCAUAACAGUGUCAUGAGGAGCAGCUGAGGCUUGGACCAAUGAAGAGAGCAUAAGUGAGACUAUCAGUGAAGCCUAGUUGCAGCAGAAGAACCCAACAUAUUGAAGAUGCCAGUCCAAUGGGAUGAGCAGAAAGAACAGCCCAGUAGAGUGGAGUCAACAAGAGCUUAGAGUGAUACAGAGGUCAGAGCUAGAGAAGUGACCUUAUCUCUCUGGAGGACUGCAGAAGAUCAUGUGUGGAUCCAAGACAUUGGAACAAGAAACUGUAACACUGAGGUUACCUUCGAGACCCCAAGAUCUUUGAGAUGUCAGAGCUGUGGGGUACCUGCUCAGGAAAAACCAGCCAAAGAGAAAGAAUUGUGCUGCAGUGAACACAGCAGAAAGGAGUUGGAGAUCUGAAGAAUGCUUUAACAUCAGACAUAGAGAUGCAGUUUGGAGAUUUCCAAGCUGACUUUUGGUUUUGUUUUGGUCCACUAUUUCCUCAUGAUGACAUUUAGGAUUGUUAAAGUCUAUGUUUUGAAGUGGUAGUAUAUGAUCUGCUUUUAGAUUUUCUUUUUUAGGGGAUUACAGUUACAUUGAAUGAAUCUCAGAAGAGACUUUGACCUUUGGACUUUUAACAUUUUUGAGAGUGGAAUAGAUGAUGGGGACUUUUGAGGUUGGACCUCGUGUAUUUUUCAUUAUGCAUGUUUAAGUAUGGUCCUCAUACAUUCCUGUACUCCAACAUGGUUAUGGGGGCCAUUGAAUGGAAUGUGGGAGUUUGAAUAUGCUUGUCACAGGGAGUGACUCUAUUUAGUGGUGUGAGCUUGUUGGAGGAAGUGGAUAUCUCUGGGGGUGGACUCUGAAGCUCCACCAAGUGCAAAACAGACCCUCCUAUUCCCUCCCUGGAAGACAGUUUCUUCCUGGCUGCCUUUGGAUCAAAAUGCAGAACUCUCAGCUCCUCCAGCAUCAUGUCUGCCUGCAUGCUGCUGCUGUGCUUCCUGCUAUGAUGAAAAUGGACUAAACCUCUGAAACUGUAAGCCAGCCCCAAUUAAAGGUUUGCUUUUAUGAGAGUUGCCUUGGUCAUGAUGUCUAUUCCUAGCGAUGGAAACACUAAGACAGAAACCUUGGGAGUUUAUUUAAUAUGGUGAAGCGUUUGCACAAUUCUGUGGGCUUCAUCAUCAUGAAAGAAUAUGUACUGGAGCCAGACAGUGGUGGUGCAUGCCUUUAAUCCCAGCACUUGGGAGGAAGAUGCAGGAGGACCUCUGAGUUCUCGGCCAGCCUGGUCUACAAAGUGAGUUCCAGGACAGCCUGGGCUAUAGAGAGAAACCCUGUCUUGAAAAACCAAAACACAACAAAACAGUAUGUUUUGGAGAGAAACCUUUUGAAUGUACUUACUAUGGUUAAGCUUCUUCCUACGGUUAAGAAGGAAUGACUUUGACAGAUACAGUUCUCAUUCUCUGUCUUUAGAACGUGAGCAUCACAUAGGAGUUCCGACAAGCUCAUUCUUGGACCCUGUCUACAUGUGUUAAAUCAGAAGUUUUGCUCUCAGUGUAUGACCUCUAGAAAAAUAAUUAAAGGUGGCCCCUGAACUCUAUAUUUCUGACUCUCCAGUUACUACUAAUCUAUCUUUGAAGCAGAGGCCCCAUGUCCUUGAGCUCUCUUUGGGAGCAGAGGUGAUCAGAAAGGUAGUCAAGGGCUCUGAAGCCCCUCAGGCACAUGUGAGGUUUCAGGCAACACCAGGCCCACUGAAGCACACACACAAAACUGUGUUGAGGAUUAAUCUAAUGUGUGCUCUCUGACACAGCGUUUGCAACACAGCAGGUAGAACUUGCCAUAUCCACCCAACAAACCCCAUACACAUCUAGGAAACUUCUACAACUCAGAAACUCCUGUUGCACCUGAAAUUGGAUUUCCCAGAAUCAUGCCAGGUUCAAUGGUGGGAGUGGAAAAGUGAAAAUAUUGUGAUCAAGUAUUGCUAAACGAUGAUCCCCAUCACUGCCUUUAUACCACUUUCAAAUACUUCAUAACAUUUGUCACACAACAGUGAAUGUGUUUGAGCCUAUCCCUAACUCUUAACCCUAACCACUAAUUCCUUACCCUGUUAUCUGUUGACUCUCCUCUAUGUAUACUGAAUAGAGUAUAGAAUUAGGCUUAGAUUAAUGCCAGUUUUUCAUUAAUGUUUGCCUGAAGACAGACUUUUUUCCCAUAUGUUUUUCCUUCAAGUCUCAUACUCUAAGUGCCUUAAAUGCCUCACUUAUUCCUUCAGAACUUGCAAGCAUUUUUGUAGGGUUUUUUUUCCAUGUUGGAACGUUCCUUCAUAAUCUACAUAUAACGCCUAUUUUGUUAAAACUCUUUCAAUGUUUAUACCACUCUAACAUUUUAUAUUUGCUAAUACCAUAAGAUACAAUAGGUUUAACAAAUCCACCAUCUCCUGUGAGAACAUUUAUUCAAGGGUGGGGAAUAAGCAAUGUUUAUCUCCACUUUCUAAGUUCUCAGUGGCACCACAUCUCAAAAUUAACAUAGUUAACCAAAUUACCAUAGUUCAUGCCAGUGAAAUUACUGAGUUUUCCUUAUAAAAUAUUGACAAGGUGUUUCUUAUGAGACCUGGAUAUCCUAGAAUCAGUCACAAUAAAAAUGCUUUACACAUUUUGUAUGGAGACAGUUUCACAUUACAUAAAUAGUUACACCUCUUCCCCCUUUAAAAAUACUGGCCAGCCAAGUCCUC